UACGUAGGGGGCAAGCGUUGUCCGGAAUUAUUGGGCGUAAAGCGCGUGUAGGCGGCUCGGUAAGUCUGCUGUGAAAGUCCAGGGCUCAACCCUGGAAUGCCGGUGGAUACUGUCGAGCUCGAGUCCGGAAGAGGCGAGUGGAAUUCCUGGUGUAGCGGUGAAAUGCGCAGAUAUCAGGAGGAACACCCGUGGCGAAGGCGGCUCUCUGGGACGGUACUGACGCUGAGACGCGAAAGCGUGGGGAGCGAACAGG
rnacentral:rRNA from 1 species